rnacentral:rRNA from 1 species
UAAUACAGAGGGUGCGAGCGUUAAUCGGAGUUACUGGGCGUAAAGGGCGCGUAGGUGGUUGUACAAGUAAGGUGUGAAAUCCCUGGGCUUAACCUAGGAAUUGCACUUUAAACUGUAUAGCUGGAGUGCGGUAGAGGGUAGUGGAAUUUCCGGUGUAGCGGUGAAAUGCGUAGAGAUCGGAAGGAACACCAGUGGCGAAGGCGACUACCUGGACCGCAACUGACACUGAGGCGCGAGAGCGUGGGGAGCAAACAGGAUUAGAUACCCUGGUAGUCCACGCUGUAAACGAUGAGAACUAGAUGUUGGUCUGCGCGAGCGGAUUAGUAUCGAAGCUAACGCGAUAAGUUCUCCGCCUGGGGAGUACGGCCGCAAGGUUA